rnacentral:misc_RNA from 1 species
AACGCACAUUGCGCCCCCUGGCAUUCCGGGGGGCAUGCCUGUUCGAGCGUGUCCGAGAAAGAGACUCACGCGGGAGAACGCGUGGUGGUGAAGGCGGCGGCGGGCCCGACAGGGCGGCCACCCCGGCGGAAUCGAUGGGCGGAAGCCGGCCGCGUCGCAGAGCGUGAUAUCUUGCUAUCGCCUCGUGCGCGGCAGAGGUUUCCAGCCAAGGCCCCCAUGCAGGGCGGGCAGAGCGUGACAUUGGAACUCCUCGAAUCAGGUAGGGAUACCCGCUGAACUUAA